UAUAAAGUAUAAAGUGAAGCGUGGAUGAAACUUGUGUAGUUGUAUUAAAAGUUUUGUUGCAAUAGCAAGUGAAUGAAUUAAAAGUUAUAGAGUGUUUGUAUUGCAACUUAGUAAGGAUAUUUUCCACGUAAUACACGAAUUACUUUAUCGGCACAACAAUAUAAAAUACAUUCAAAAUGAAUAGUUCAGUAUUAUUAACUUCCUUUAUUAUUCUUGGAUUGGUAUAUACUGUCACAGCUUUGAAAAGUGAUGAAUGUGAAGUAUGUAUAAAUAUUGUGGAAAGGUUUGUGAAUACUUUAAGUGAAGAUGUGAAAAAAGAUACAAAAAAGAUCGAAGCAGCAUUUAAAGACUUUUGUAAAGGUACUAAAUCUAAGGAAAACAGAUUUUGUUAUUAUUUAGGUGGUCUGGAAGAAUCUGCCACAGGUAUUUUAAGUGAAUUAAGUAAACCUAUAUCUUGGUCUAUGCCUGCAAAUAAAGUAUGUGAAAAAUUAAAGAAGAAGGAUUCUCAAAUAUGUGAUUUGAGAUAUGAGAAACAAAUUGAUAUUGAUACUGUUGAUUUAAAAAAGCUUAAAGUACGUGAUUUGAGGAAAAUCUUGAGUGACUGGGAUGAAACAUGUGAUGGUUGCAUAGAGAAAACAGAUUUUAUUAAGCGAAUUGAAGAACUGAAAUCCAAAUAUUCUCGUACUGCAAACUCAGAACUCUGAAAAGUGUUCAACACUGUAGAUAAAUUAUUAUGACACACAUAUGUCAAUUGAUCCUGAUACAAAUAAGAACGACCACGAAUUGUUGCACCAAAUGGAAGUUUUGGUUUAUUACACGAAAGUCCUAUAAAUGUUAAUUAAUCAAGAAAGGAUGAUACAAUAUUAUAUAUUAUGUAAUAUUGAACUUACUUGAACAUCUACUAUAUAUUCUGGACCAUUUCCCAUUUGCAAGACAUCUUACAUUUCCUUGACCAAGCAUUUGGUAUCCAGAAUAUUAGAUAGUAUUGUCUUUUUAACGUUUGGUACCUUGAAUGGAACUUCCUUUCGACAAGUAGAUGCCAUUGUCUCUUAAAAGGCCGUCGAUAAAAAUAUUCCAAGAGCCAUUCUCCGAUUCCCAGGUGAAACAAACGAAAUGCCAAUGACCAUCGUUUACUUUAAUAUCGGUUAUUACUUUCUCGCCAUUGAGAUAUAUUACCAGCCUACGAAAUCAAGAUAGUAAUAUUUCAUGUGAUUUAUCCACAUUGUCAGUCACGUUCGGUAUUGUCCAGCUUACACUGGCAUAUUUCUUCCCUGGAAGGCUCUCAGUGAUAAUGUCAGGUGGACAGAUUAUCGAAGGUGGUGUUUUAUCUUUGAAAAAAAAAAGAAGAAACAAAA